GAUGAAGAACGCAGCAAAAUGCGAUACUUGGUGUGAAUUGCAGAAUCCCGUGAACCAUCGAGUUUUUGAACGCAAGUUGCGCCCGAAGCCUUUUGGCCGAGGGCACGUCUGCCUGGGCGUCACGCAUCGCGUCGCCCCCCACAAUUCUCCGUAAAGGGAACGGGUGUUUUGGGGGCGGAUAUUGGUCUCCCGUGCUCAUGGCGUGGUUGGCCGAAAUAGGAGUCCUUUCGAUGGACGCACGAACUAGUGGUGGUCGUAAAAACCCUCGUCUUUUGUUUCGUGCUGUUGCUCGCAAGGUAAACUCUUUAAAAACCCCAAUGUGUCGUCUCUUGACGACGCUUCGACCGCGACCCCAGGUCAGGCGGGACUACCCGCUGAGUUUAAGCAUAUCAAUAAGCGGAGGA
rnacentral:misc_RNA from 1 species